CAAGACAUUUCCCUGAAAACAUGUUUUUUUAUUUAAGAAGUAGAGGUCAGAUAAAAGCUUAUAUAAGCUGCUCUUUGUUACUUUCAGAAAACAGUUUCAUAAGGUUAAAAAUGGCUUCCAAAUUUAAGUUUUCUGUACCUCACUUUAUUUGAACAAUGGGAAUUAAGAAUCUAUUUCAAAAGUAAAUUAAUUUAAUUCCCAAGUGAAAACAACGUGCAGAAAAGAUUUUAAAUCUGGACUCUGCAUCCAGGAAUUGGUUCAGGUUCUUUUUCAUCUACUGUCACUCUUGUAUUACACUGAGGUUGUUCUUAUACCAAGUGAUACAAGCACAUCUAAUAUCCAUAAUUAACAUGUUGAGAUUCCUAUGAAAACUUUUUAUAAGGGCAGAAAAAGGAGGUUAUUAUCACUCUGCUGCAAUUUUGUUCUGAGCACCAGAUGUACUUCCCCAUCUCCUGCUCUCCCCUCUACAAAAAGAUUUUAAUCCUCUAUUUAAUUUCAAAACUGGUAUAAGCCAAACCAUUUAGGUCAUCAACCUCACACUGAAAAUGUCUUGAUACCUCUGAUACAUUUUUUCAACUUUUAGAUUAAUGAAUAGUUUUUUUCCACCAAAUGAAAGCAAUCAAGUAGUUAAUCCUUUCAUGUGCAAUUAGCAGCUCUGACCUCCCUGUUCUUUAAAAUGAGGGUCACUGGGAGGUAAAGGCCAGUUCUGGGCCUUUCCUUUCAUAUCAGAAUACCCCUUCACUAACUAUCUCUUCUCUUUCCAAAAACAUCAGAGAGCAAGGGGGAAAAAAACAGGCUUCUACUUCCAUUAGCAGUAACUUAAACAGCCAUAAGUUAAAGGGGGAGGAAAAGGAAGAGCAUCUCUAUCUAUCUCCCUUCACAACAGAAGACAUCUGGCCUCCUGUGGGGAGGCCCCAGAUAACAAAGAACCUGUCAUUACAAACCUCUGAGAUGUGUUCAGAAAGCCAUUUUACCUGCAGUCUGGCUCAUUCAUUUCCUGCCACUGAAGCCAUCUGCUUUUGCUUAUUGUGGGUAUUAUUGUUCUUUGUUUGGCCAGGAGUGUGAAGUGGCUUCACUUUAGCAUGCCUGUAUGCUUGGUCAGAGGAAAGAUUUAAUCCUUUUCUCAAAAUGAGUAAGAAGGAGCUGCAAAAAACAGUUCCUUUCCUGGAAGGUAGCACGAAGUCAUCCAAGCUUAGGUUGAAUAAAAGGUCAUGUCAGUGGAUGGGGUAAAGAUAUAUUGAGAUUGAAAAGAGAUGACAACUUUGAAUCUACAGCAGAAACCUUCCAAGGUACUUGUAAUCCUACCUGAUUUAAGCUCUUUGCCACUGCUUCUGGCAAUUUUUUUUCAGCUCAAGUCUCUCUGGUUUUUAAGUUUCACUUUGGCUUCUGCAGCCCCAGAUGCAUAAUAAUCCAUUCGUACUCUCCUUUUACAUUGAGUUUCAGUAUUUUCACUCUGUUUUUUUGUCUUAAUGGUUUGCUUCAAAAAUUAUGUCUCUUAGCAAAUGAAGAUCUUAACAUACUUAUAUAAAACAGAAGUUGAUGCGAAAAUCCAGUCCACCUACCUCUGAUAAAUUUUCCAUCACUCUCAGGUACCAUUGACUUCUGUGUCUGAAAGGGCUGUGUGCCAGCAGAGAUCGUACAGAUGGUUUUGCAGCAAAAUGGUGAACACGGCAAUGAUCACAUAUUACUGCCAUGGUUAACAGCUUCUGAAGAUAAAUUGGAUGCAGUAGAAUUUUGAAAGUAACACAUUCACCUUUAAAAACACCCAUGGCCGCGUGGUUUCUUCACCACUACCUGCCGGAGGGAAAAAAUGGAAUAUUCCUUAAGCCUCACAGCAAGAGGUGGAAACUGCUUCUCCAGCGCAAACCGACUUUGUAUUUUCACCUCACUGAAAAUGGAAGUCUUUGUCUCACUGUGCAGCAUCUUUUCUGCAGAGGAAUACUACUCUGAGUUACAGCUGAAGUUUUCUCAAGCUGAAACUACAGACUUCAUUUCAAAUGUUGCUAAUGCUAAAUAAAAAUACUGUAUUUCAAAAACAUAAAAAAUAUUUUAAGCUUCAUUUUUGUGACUAAAUUAUUUGCCAAACACAGCAUGAAUCCUGGCUGACCUGAAGCUAUGUUUUCCAGUGAUCGCAGUGCAACUGAAACAUUCUAGCUUUUUCUGUUUACAGACUUUCGGACAAAAGCAGUGCUGUGGUCUAUUAUUAUUAUUUACAGCAGAGAAGCAAGCUUCAAUUUUCAGAAACUUCAUGUAAAGCACCUCAGUCUACAUAUUCAAGCAGAAGUAUUGCAAUACUUCCUCUCAAUCUUAUAAAAGUCUAUUUACAG
ensembl:lncRNA